rnacentral:lncRNA from 1 species
ACACCCUAGCGAAAGACAACAGAGCCAUACUCGGGCUGGACCUGCAGAGCGCCUUCGAUAAUGUGAGGCACUCGGCUAUCCUGGCCCAAGUAUCCAGGCUAAACAUGGGCAGGAAGACAUACGAGUACAUCAAAGACUUCCUGACGAAACGGACCACCGAAAUCUGCGCGGGAUACCUGCAGCUCGAAGAGAAGAAGCUGGGCAGUGUCGGAACCCCGCAGUGCUCGGUGAUCUCCCCGUUACUCUUCAACCUCGUGAU